GAUGAACGCUAGCUACAGGCUUAACACAUGCAAGUCGAGGGGAAACGGGAGAAUAGCUUGCUAUUCUUUGUCGUCGACCGGCGCACGGGUGAGUAACGCGUAUCCAACCUUCCCAUAACUAAGGAAUACCCCGUAGAAAUGCGGCCUAAUCCCUUAUGGUCUCUUAUGCCUGUCAUGGGAAUAAGAGUAAAGAUUUAUCGGUUAUGGAUGGGGAUGCGUCUGAUUAGCUUGCUGGCGGGGUAACGGCCCACCAGGGCAUCGAUCAGUAGGGGUUCUGAGAGGAAGGUCCCCCACAUUGGAACUGAGACACGGUCCAAACUCCUACGGGAGGCAGCAGUGAGGAAUAUUGGUCAAUGGGCGAGAGCCUGAACCAGCCAAGUAGCGUGCAGGAUGACGGCCCUAUGGGUUGUAAACUGCUUUUUAAGGGAAUAAAGAGGGGCACGUGUGCCCUGUU
rnacentral:rRNA from 1 species